rnacentral:rRNA from 1 species
AGAAUCAACGCUGGCGGCGUGCCUAACACAUGCAAGUCGAACGAGAAAGUGGAGCAAUCCAUGAGUAAAGUGGCGCACGGGUGAGUAACACGUGACUAACCUACCCUUGAGUGGGGGAUAACCUAGGGAAACCUGGGCUAAUACCGCAUAACACCUACGGGUCAAAGGAGCAAUUCGCUUAAGGAGGGGUCGCGGCAGAUUAGUUAGUUGGCGGGGUAAUGGCCCACCAAGACGGUGAUCUGUA